UCGGAUAUGGUGUAACGGCUAACAUUGCCGCCUCUCAUUGGUGCGUGCGCGUCUUGUGGCCUUCUCGCGGCAGCUCGGGGUUCGAUUCCCCGUAUCCGAA